AGCUUCUCUUCAGUUCCCUGGAAGACAAGGCAAUACAAAGGUAAGGCUUAGCUUUGGUUUGACAGAGUUCUGUUUUCUGUAGAAACUACAAAAUCGGGUAAGAACUUCUGGCUUGCUUCGCCUGGGGCUUUAGAAGGAAGUGCUGUUGACGGCUGAAUUCAAGGACAGGAUGUAUGACUUCUUGCAUUUAAUGUCUCAGUAAAUCUUGCUGCAAAAUUAUACUGUGUGUAAUUGUAAUGUAGAUGUUGCAAACUAUAAAAUUUUUCCUUUCUUAACUAAGAAAUGCGUUCCCUAACUGGCAAGUUUACUGUCCUGGUGUUGAGUUACUAAAGGAAGAAAGAGAAAGGGGGCUCUAGCAAACUUAGAGAGAGGGUUUUCUUUCCUCCUCUUUGGAAAGGCUUUUCAAAGAGCUGUGAGUUCUGUGUGAGUCCAGUGCUGGAGUGGGAGGCAUGUGAGGUCUCAGAGAAACUAGAAGUGGAAAAUUCUCAAGAACUCUUCAAAAUAGAAGGCUUUCGUAGCUAGAAAUAUUUUUCUUUAUUAAAACGAAAUGAAUCCCAGCCUCAGCAUGAUCUCCAUGACCCUUUUAAUUAACGUUUUGAAUCAAUGUUAUGUUUACUCAUAGUUUAAGAUGGUCCGCUUGUUACUCGACUCAUUUAAACAGGGAGUGGCCACAUUCCCUCCCUGUAAUCUCUGUGUCAUAGACAGGCUUUUCUGGUGAGCGUUUGAAAACCUAAGUGGAAAGCAGAUUUUUCCAGGGUGAGGUCAGAUAAAUCAUCCCACGGAAUGCCUGAGGAGCCCUACAGAAACUCUUCUCCCUAGUGACAUCUUGAGGACACAUAAGACAAGGAGAUAAUUCCUAGGAAAACCAAAAAAAAAAAAAAACAGACAAACAGACAAACAAAAAAUAAUAAACUUAAAGCUGGAUCAAAUUGCAAAAGUGAGAGCAGAAUGAUUCCUAACUACACACUCAGCUUAUUACAAAUGUGACUUCAUAGACUUAGUCUUAGCUCACAUAAAGCUGUUAAUGAAACAUUUUAUCUUCUGAUUUUAUGCGUGCCAAUUAAAAAUGUGCUUCUUCCUGACAUAGAUGCCUCAGUUGUACGAAUCCUGAGAAAUCAAUGCCCCUAAUACGGUGCAGGGACCUGGGCUUUGCCAGCUGCAGCUCAGGCCUGUUUCAGCUGAUUCGAAUGUGGUAAAAUGCUGGUUUCCUGAUUCUGAAAUGGCCUCUUCCUCAUUUCAGAAAUUCUGCGGUUACCAGAGCCCAGAAAACACACCUACACCUUCUCCAUACCUCAUAUGAGACCACUGCUCUUGAGACUAUAGCAAUACUCUUAAGGAACCAGCAAAAGUCAGAUGCUUGCUAAAAUACUUUCUCCAUCAAAAACUUCUACAGUGUUGAUCUCUGAACACAACAUCAGCUGGACAGGCUGACUUAGUGCCCUCUAGACCUAUUAAUUUGUUACACAUUUAAAGUCAGAACAACACCAAAAAAAAGAAAAAAGAAAAAAGAAAAGAAAUCCUACGGAUCUUUAGUGAUGAACCAUGAACAAUUCUCAAAGUCUUUUCCCUCCAAAUUUGCACACACUGAUCAGAAUAAUUAAGCAUCCAAUCUAUCUAAUACCUUUUUCCUUUAGGUUAACUCCUCUUUGGACUCAAGGUGAAAUGUAAGAUAGGUGAUUUGGAGGUAGAAUGGAUCUAAAGACUAUUUUACCAUUCUCAUUUUACAAAUUAAAAUGGCCUGAAGAAGUUUCUUGUUUUUUGUGAAGUCAAAUUUAUGGUUAAAGAAAAAAAAAAAAGAGGGGUUGGGGAUUUAGCUCAGUGGUAGAGCGCUUGCCUAGCAAGCGCAAGGCCCUGGGUUCGGUCCCCAGCUCUGAAAAAAAGAAAAG
rnacentral:lncRNA from 1 species